AUGAAAGGAGGCAAGGCGAUGGGCCCUGAUUGUAUCCCCAUUGAGGUGUGGAAAGGCCUCGGGGACAUAGCGAUAGUAUGGCUAACCAAGCUUUUCAACCUCAUUUUUCGGGCAAACAAGAUGCCAGAAGAAUGGAGACGGAGUAUAUUAGUACCAAUCUUCAAGAACAAGGGGGAUGUUCAGAGUUGUACUAAUUACCGUGGAAUUAAGCUGAUGAGCCAUACAAUGAAGCUAUGGGAGAGAGUCAUUAAGCACUGCUUAAGAAGAAUGCCAAGCGUGACCAAAAAUCAGUUUGGUUUCAUGCCUGGGAGGUCGACCAUGGAAGCCAUUUUCUUGGUACGACAACUUAUGGAGAGAUACAGGGAGCAAAAGAAGGACUUGCAUAUGGUGUUCAUUGACUUGGAGAAGGCCUAUGACAAGAUACCGCGGAAUGUCAUGUGGUGGGCCUUGGAGAAACACAAAGUC
rnacentral:rRNA from 1 species